rnacentral:sRNA from 1 species
GAUUCUUGAUAAUUUUACAGGUCUAAAAGUCGUGGCAGGUUUCCGUUUGCGAACCUGACAGCCGAUGACUGCCGAAUUUAAAAUUUGAACUGUUCCCGCUUCACUCGGGGUUACUAGGGGAAUCCUUGUUGUUUUCUUUUCCUCCCCUUAGUGAUAUGCUGAAGUUCUUUGGGUACCCCUACCUGAGAAAAAGUCCCACGGCCGACUGAGAUGCCGCCAAACUACGACUGACUAUGAAUUUCUGGACUAUGUCUUUUUCUGCUGCACCAGUAGGCUGUCAUAAUUUGUAUCGGUGGGGCAUUGCAAGGAGUCCUGCCUUUAUUUUCUUUCAACAACGGAUCUCUUGGCUCUCGCAUCAAUUACCAAGUCCACAAACUGUGUGAUCUAAAGAGAAUAUGAAAAGUCAAUUUAUCGACACCCCUUUGAACAUGCCUUGCGCUCCUUGGUAUUCCGCGGAUGUGCCUGUUUGGGUGUGAUUAAAUUCUCAAUGAUAUGAUUUCUUGAUCACAUGUACUCUGGACACUUCAUCUUUGCAAAAUUCAAGAUAGACACCGGUUCUCCUUGAAUGCAUGUUUAUAGGCCUUUGCAGGCCCCCACGAUACAUUCCUUGACAUACCCAUGGCGCAUAGGUAAAAUUGUUAGGCUGGAAAUGCAAAAGCCCCUAUUUAUGACAGCAUCCUCAUUGGACGGGAUGAGUUUCCUCCGGGUGGGACUCCCCACCGAACUAUGUCUGCACAGUAGGCUGAGUGAAAAAAACAAAGACAGACUCGCCCAAUAACUCCAAAUGACGGGAACAAUCUGCAGAGUUCAUACCAGAAAGAUCCUUGGCUGUCCUAGUCUACAUCAAACCUAGUUACGACUUUUACUGCAUCGAAACGACUCUCAUGAAUCGACGAGCUAGCCGU